rnacentral:rRNA from 1 species
GUGGGGAAUAUUGGACAAUGGGGGGAACCCUGAUCCAGCCAUGCCGCGUGUGUGAAGAAGGCCUUUUGGUUGUAAAGCACUUUAAGCGAGGAGGAGGCUACCGAGAUUAAUACUCUUGGAUAGUGGACGUUACUCGCAGAAUAAGCACCGGCUAACUCUGUGCCAGCAGCCGCGGUAAUCCAGAGGGUGCAAGCGUUAAUCGGAUUUACUGUGCGUAAAGCGCGCGUAGGUGGCCAAUGAAGUCAGAUGUGAAAUCCCCGAGCUUAACGUGGGAAUUGCAUUCGGUACUGGUUGGCUAGAGUAUGGGAGAGGAUGGUAGAAUGCCAGGUGUAGCGGUGAAAUGCGUAGAGAUCUGGAGGAAUACCGAUGGCUAAGGCAGCCAUCUGGCCUAAUACUGACACUGAGGUGCGAAAGCAUGGGGAGCAAACAGGAUUAGAAACCCCUGUAGUCC